rnacentral:rRNA from 1 species
CAGCCGCCGCGGUAACACGAAGGGUGCAAGUGUUAAUCGGAAUUACUGGGCGUAAAGCGUGCGCAGGCGGUUUGUUAAGACAGAUGUGAAAUCCCCGGGCUCAACCUGGGAAUGGCAAUGGAUACUGGCAAGCUAGAGUGUGUCAGAGGAUGGUGGAAUUCCCGGUGUAGCGGUGAAAUGCGUAGAGAUGUGGAGGAACACCAGUGGCGAAGGCUACUCUCUGGUCUGUAACUGACGCUGAGGAGCGAAAGCGUGGGGAGCGAACAGGAUUAGAUACCCCCGUAGUCCCUGUCUCUUAUAA